UACGAAGGGGGCUAGCGUUGUUCGGAAUCACUGGGCGUAAAGGGCGCGUAGGCGGCCGAUCAAGUCGGGGGUGAAAGCCUGUGGCUCAACCACAGAAUGGCCUUCGAUACUGGUGGGCUCGAGACCGGAAGAGGUUGGUGGAACUGCGAGUGUAGAGGUGAAAUUCGUAGAUAUUCGGAAGAACACCAGUGGCGAAGGCGGCUCACUGGACUGGUAUUGACGCUGAGGUGCGAAAGCGUGGGGAGCAAACAGG
rnacentral:rRNA from 1 species